GCCGGGCGUGGUGGUGCAUGCCUGUAGUCCCAGCUACUCAGGAGGCUGAGGCAGGAGAAUUGCUUGAACCUGGGAGGUGGAGGUUGCAGUGAGCUGAGAUCGUGCCACUGCACUCCUGCCUGGGUGACAGAGUGAGACUCUGUCUCAA
rnacentral:SRP_RNA from 2 species